UUGCCCAAAUGUAUUACUUCUUCACAUGGUUCUUUCUCUAUCUUGCUCUCCCUCUGUCUCUCUCUCACACAGAGAAUCAAUCACUCGUACUACCCUCUCGGCUCCCUUGAAUCGAUUGUGAACCCGGUUCAACCCACCUUGGCCACUGAGGACAUGGAAGCCGAACGCUUCACAUUAAACAUUUCUAGGGUUAAUGGGUCGGUGGCGAUCGAUACAGGAAUCCGAUACGAAGCGGCUGGGAAUGGCGUACAGAGAUUCGUUCUUGCUCUUUGUUGUAUAGCAUUGCAUCUAUAGCAAGACCUCAUUUUAAUCCAUUCAAGAAGGAUCAUGGAGCUCCUUCAUUGUUGCUGGCCCAGAUGGGGUUGCAGAGAUUAUGAUUAAAGACAUGCUGGUAUAUUAAGAGCAAUUUCCUUCAUUCCAAAAUUGUUACUUUUUGUUUCAUAAUGAUGACGAAAGAAAAGAGGAUUUAAUUGAUGUCAUAUUCUGUUAAUUUGAUUAUUGACCUACUACACACAGUAAGGGAUUAAACUUGUUUCAAUU